rnacentral:rRNA from 1 species
AUUGAACGCUGGCGGCAGGCCUAACACAUGCAAGUCGAACGGUAACAGGAAGAAGCUUGCUUCUUUGCUGACGAGUGGCGGACGGGUGAGUAAUGUCUGGGAAACUGCCUGAUGGAGGGGGAUAACUACUGGAAACGGUAGCUAAUACCGCAUAAUGUCGCAAGACCAAAGAGGGGGACCUUCGGGCCUCUUGCCAUCGGAUGUGCCCAGAUGGGAUUAGCUAGUAGGUGGGGUAACGGCUCACCUAGGCGACGAUCCCUAGCUGGUCUGAGAGGAUGAGCAGCCACACUGGAACUGAGACACGGUCCAGACUCCUACGGGAGGCAGCAGUGGGGAAUAUUGGACAAUGGGCGCAAGCCUGAUGCAGCUAUGCCGCGUGUAUGAAGAAGGCCUUCGGGUUGUAAAGUACUUUCAGCGGGGAGGAAGGGAGUAAAGUUAAUACCUUUGCUCAUUGACGUUACCCGAAGAAGAAGCACCGGCUAACUCCGUG